rnacentral:rRNA from 1 species
UGGCGGACGGGUGAGUAAUGCUUGGGAACUUGCCUUUGCGAGGGGGAUAACUAUUGGAAACGAUAGCUAAUACCGCAUAAUGUUUUCGAACCAAAGGGGGCUUUGCUCCUGCGCAAAGAGAGGCCCAAGUGAGAUUAGCUAGUUGGUAAGGUAAAGGCUUACCAAGGCGGCGAUCUCUAGCCGUUCUGAGAGGAAGAUCAGCCACACUGGGACUGAGACACGGCCCAGACUCCUACGGGAGGCAGCAGUGGGGAAUAUUGCACAAUGGGGGAAACCCUGAUGCAGCCAUGCCGCGUGUGUGAAGAAGGCCUUCGGGUUGUAAAGCACUUUCAGUUGUGAGGGAAGGUUGGUAGUUAAUACCUGUCAGCUGUGACGUUAACAACAGAAGAAGCACCGGCUAACUCCGUGCCAGCAGCCGCGGUAAUACGGAGGGUGCGAGCGUUAAUCGGAAUUACUGGGCGUAAAGCGCACGCAGGCGGUUUGUUAAGCUAGAUGUGAAAGCCCCGGGCUCAACCUGGGAUAGUCAUUUAGAACUGGCAGACUAGAGUCUUGGAGAGGGGAGUGGAAUUCCAGGUGUAGCGGUGAAAUGCGUAGAUAUCUGGAGGAACAUCAGUGGCGAAGGCGACUCCCUGGCCCAAAGACUGACGCUCAUGUGCGAAAGUGUGGUAGCGAACAGGAUUAGAUACCCUGGUAGUCCACACCGUAAACGCUGUCUACUAGCUGUUUGUGACUUUAAGUCGUG